rnacentral:rRNA from 1 species
AUUGAACGCUGGCGGCAUGCCUUACACAUGCAAGUCGAACGGUAACAGGUCUUCGGAUGCUGACGAGUGGCGAACGGGUGAGUAAUACAUCGGAACGUGCCCGAGAGUGGGGGAUAACGAAGCGAAAGCUUUGCUAAUACCGCAUACGAGCCCAGGAUGAAAGCAGGGGACCGCAAGGCCUUGCGCUCACGGAGCGGCCGAUGGCAGAUUAGGUAGUUGGUGGGAUAAAAGCUUACCAAGCCGACGAUCUGUAGCUGGUCUGGGAGGACGACCAGCCACACUGGGACUGAGACACGGCCCAGACUCCUACGGGAGGCAGCAGUGGGGAAUUUUGGACAAUGGGCGCAAGCCUGGUCCAGCCAUGCCGCGUGCAGGAUGAAGGCCUUCGGGUUGUAAACUGCUUUUGUACGGAACGAAAAGACUCCUUCUAAUAAAGGGGGUCCAUGACGGUACCGUAAGAAUAAGCACCGGCUAACUACGUGCCAGCCGCCGCAGUAAAAC